UUAAAUUGAAGAGUUUGAUCAUGGCUCAGAUUGAACGCUGGCGGCAGGCCUAACACAUGCAAGUCGAACGGUAACAGGAAGCAGCUUGCUGCUUCGCUGACGAGUGGCGGACGGGUGAGUAAUGUCUGGGAAACUGCCUGAUGGAGGGGGAUAACUACUGGAAACGGUAGCUAAUACCGCAUAACGUCGCAAGACCAAAGAGGGGGACCUUCGGGCCUCUUGCCAUCGGAUGUGCCCAGAUGGGAUUAGCUUGUUGGUGGGGUAACGGCUCACCAAGGCGACGAUCCCUAGCUGGUCUGAGAGGAUGACCAGCCACACUGGAACUGAGACACGGUCCAGACUCCUACGGGAGGCAGCAGUGGGGAAUAUUGCAC
rnacentral:rRNA from 1 species